rnacentral:lncRNA from 10 species
GGCAAGCACCCCCCACCCCUUCUCUCCACCCUGUCUUUUCUCUGGGCUUGACUCCUUCACUAUAGGCAAACUUCCACCCUCCGUUCCUCCUUCUCCCUUAGCCUAUGUUCUCAAGAACUUAAAACCUCUUCAACUCACACCUGAACUAAAACCUAAAUGCCUUAUUUUCUUCUGCAAUACCACUUGACCCCAAUACAAACUCAACAAUGGUUCCAAAUAGCCCAAAAACGGCACUUUUGAUUUCUCCAUCCUACAAGAUCUAGGUAAUUCUUGUUGUAAAAUGGACAAAUGGUCUGAGGUGCCUGACGUCCAGGCAUUCUUUUACAUGUUGGUCCCUCCCCAGUCUCUGUUCCCAUGCAACUCGUCCCAAAUCUUCCUUCUUUCCCUCCUGCCUGUCCCCUCAGUCCCAACCUCAAGCAUCGCUGAGUCUUCUCAAUCUUCCUUUUCUACUGACUCAUCUGACCUCUCCCCUCCUCCCCAGACUGCUCCUCAGGUCACUCCCCACCAGGCUGAAUCAGGCUCUAAUUCUAUCUCAGCCUCUGCUCCCCCACCCUAUAAUCCUUCUAUCACCUCCCCUCCUCACACCUGGUCUGGCUGACAGUUUUGUUCCACAACUAGCCCUCCCCAACCUGCCCAACAAUUUCCUCUGAAAGAGGUGGCUGGAGCUAAAGGCAUAGUCAAGGUUAAUGCUCCUUUUUCUUUAUCCGACCUCUCCCAAAUCAGUUAGUGUUUAAGCUAUUUUUCAUUAAAUAUAAAAACCCAGUCCAGUUCAUGGCUCAUUUGGCAGCAACCCUGAGAUGCUUUACAGCCCUAGACCCUGAAAGAUCAGAAGGCUGUCUUAGUCUCAAUAUGUAUUUUAUUACCCAAUCCGCUCCUGACAUUAAAUAAAGCUCCAAAAAUUAAAUUCCAGCCCUCAAAUCCCAGAACAGGAUUUAAUUAACCUCGCCUUCAAGGUGUACAAUAAUAGAGAAGAGUUGCAAUUACUUGCCUGCACUGUGAGACAAAACCCCAGCCACAUCUCUGGCACACAAGAACUUCAAAAUGCCUAAGCCACAAUGGUCAGGCUUUCCUUCAGGACUUCCUCCCCCAGGAUCUUAUUUCAAGUGCCAGAAAUCUGGCCACUAGGUCAACGAAUGCCCACAGCCUGGGAUUCCUCCUAAGCCAUGUCCCAUCUGUGUGGGACCCCACUGGAAAUCGGACUGUCCAACUCGCCCAGCAGCCACUACCAGAGCCCCUGGAACUCUGGCCCAAGGCUCUGUGACUGACUCCUUCCCAGAUCUUCUCGGCUUAGCGGCUGAAGACUGACACUGCCCGAUCGACUCGGAAGCCUCCUGGACCAUCACAGAUGCUUUAGUUGAACAGGUUAGACCUCUGAGCCCAAGCCUGCAUGUGUACAUCCAGUUGGCCUGAAGAAAUUGGAGAAUCACAAAAGAAGUGAAAAUGGCCGGUUCCUGCCUUAACUGAUGACAUUACCUUGUGAAAUUCCUUCUCCUGGCUCAGAAGUUCCCUCUACUGAACACCUUGUGACCCCCACCCCUGCCUGCAAGAGAAAAACCCCUUUUGGCUGUAAUUUUCCACUACCCACCCAAAUCCUAUAAAACUGCCCCACCCUAUCUCCCUUUGCUGACUCUCUGUUUGGACUCAGCCCACCUGCUCCCAGGUAAUUAAAAAGCUUUAUUGCUCA